rnacentral:rRNA from 1 species
AGGAUUAACGCUGGCGGCGUGCCUAACACAUGCAAGUCGAACGAGGUAGCAAUACCUAGUGGCAGACGGGUGAGUAACGCGUGGUCAACCUACCGUUGAGUGGGGGAUAACUAGCCGAAAGGUUAGCUAAUACCGCAUACGAGUCUUGGGGGCAUCCCUGGGACUUAAAAGGAGCAAUCCGCUCGAUGACGGGACCGCGUCCCAUUAGCUAGAUGGUGGGGUAACGGCCUACCAUGGCACCGAUGGGUAGCUGGUUUGAGAGAGCGACCAGCCACACUGGGACUGAGAAACGGCCCAGACUCCUACGGGAGGCAGCAGUGAGGAAUUUUCCGCAAUGGGCGAAAGCCUGACGGAGCGACGCCGCGUGUGGGAAGAAGGCCUUCGGGUCGUAAACCACUGUCGAAGGGGACGAUAAUGACGGUACCCUUGGAGGAAGCCCGGCUAACUACGUGCCAGCAGCCGC